AGCGAACGCUGGCGGCAGGCUUAACACAUGCAAGUCGAGCGGGCCUUUCGGGGUCAGCGGCGGACGGGUGGGUAACGCGUGGGAACUUGCCCUCUGGUUCGGAAUCACUCAGGGAAACUUGAGCUAAUACCGGAUACGCUCUUUUGGGGAAAGGCUUGCUGCCGGAGGAUCGGCCCGCGUCUGAUUAGCUAGUUGGUGAGGUAACGGCUCACCAAGGCGACGAUCAGUAGCUGGUCGGGGAGGAUGGUCUUCCACACUGGGACUGCGACACGGACCAGACUCCUACGGGAGGGAGCAGUGGGGAAUAUUGGACAAUGGGCGCAAGCCUGAUCCAGCCAUGCCGCGUGAGUGAUGAAGGCCUUAGGGUUGUAAAGCUGUUUUAUACGGGACGGUAAUGACGGUACCGGAGGAAUAAGCCCCGGCUAACUUCGUG
rnacentral:rRNA from 1 species